GGGAGGGACAAGCUCAGACGGACUCAGACACAACUUGACAAGCAACAUUUUAACCUCUAUUGAAAAAAAAAACCAAACCAGCAGAAGUAAACACUAGUCACUGUGGGGAGUCAAACUUUACAGAAGGAUGUGAAGUGAAAACUGAGAGUCGGCCCAUGGGAACCACACCCUCCCACUCCCAGUUCCAGGUGAUGCUGGCUGCUGGGUUCAGACAGCAGAUCACUCUGACCACUGCUGACCAGGCAAUUUAAGCACAUCGACUCCAGAACUCAGGCAAACCUGGCCUCAAGUCCCGGCUCUCCCGUAUCCUGAGGAUCAAGGACGUUGCCCUGACUCUGUUUCAUAAUCUCUAAAUUGGCCAAGAUGUUGCAAGGAUUAAAUGAAGAUGAUGUGCUAGGCACUUGGUUUUCACUCCAUAAAGGAGAGGAGACUAUGGCAAAGAGCAGCCAAGUCACUUAUUGAUGGCUGCCCAGUUGGCAAGCCCUGGAGGCCAAAGGUGUACUGGUGAUGAUCCGGAGCUCCAGGCAUAGCCACCAUGCAGCACUGCCAGGCUGUGGGCCCCUCCCCAAGCCCGCCUAACCCUUCCAGGACCAACCAACUCUCCCUGAGGACCACAAACACAAAAGAUAUUUCCCAUCGGAUCUGGGAUCUGCCUUGUUCUCUCCUCCCACCCCACCUCAUUCUUUCUUCACGCAUGCAAACGAGGGAUUCCAGCGCGGUGACAUUUGCGGCAGAUACUGCUGAAUUUGUUUCAGGAAGGUCUCCUUUGAAUUUGGGGACCAUCCCGAGGUGUGCUGGAAUGGGUUCCUUCCAGCAGAGAAGAGCCGACUGCAUGUAUCUCCUCUCAGUUUCAUGCUCGGUGACAUCAUGUUAGUAGCUUGCAAAAGGCCACGGAAGGAGGAUUUACUCCAGGGAAAUCAGUCAACGAAAUCCAACCAUGCAUUUCAGCCGAGGCGAGUUGAGUACUGCUGGGGGCCAUCUGGCCAGCCACACUUCCACUCGGAGAACUGGUCUCUGAUUAAUCACUUCCAAUUGAAGAUAAGGUGGAAGCUCCUCAACUACAGAAAAGUGGAUUCUGAAAUAUGGAAAUUCCCUUUAUACUUGCAUGGAACUUCAAAAAAUGCUGCUGAAACUACAGUAUGAGCUGAGUAUAUAAAUAUAUCCACUGAAAAUUUGUGUGGGAAUGGAGAUCUCAAUUAUCACUUUAAUUUUUAAAAGCACAGAAACUGUGUAAAGCAGUAUGACAUUACUUGUGAUCCAAAUGUUAGUUAGUUACCAUCAAGAUUAUCUCAUUACAGUACAUAAGUUUUGUAUAUAAACACUAUUUUGUCUUAAUUUUAGAUUGAAUUCAUUAAGCAUUAUCAAGUCUGCAAUAGAAGUUAAUUUUCAAAGCCAUUCAGUGUUCAAUAAUCAUGACUGCUUAAUAAAUAAAUAAACAAACAAAUGAAAAUAAUCAAGGGAAGUAGUUCUCACUCAGAAACAUUUCAAUCUUAGGUUCAAGUUCAAAAGUUGCAAUAAAACUUUACAACUGCUAAGCCACAGAACUGUGGUAACGGCUGUGAGAUACAGGAUAUUUAACUUCAGUUCAUGACAAAAAUUCACAUAACCGACAAUGGUUAAGUCCACAGCAAUAAAUAGCAGUAUAGAUUCAAUAAUACACGAUAGAUUCAAGUAUUUUCUGCCAAGUACUCUUGAUACAUAAUGUGGUAAAGAACCAUAGGUUUUUAAUACCCUCCAUUUUCACAAGCUUGGUAGUUUUCUGACUGAUACUUUCUUUUUCUGCUCCACACAUAUUUUUUUUUUACCACCAUCAGUUGUUUGGUAGUCAGUACUAGUUAGUUAGAAGUUAAGAAUUAGAGGCUAAAAAGAAACUGUAAAAUACACUUUAAGGUCUAUUCAUGUAGUCUUAUUGAAAUUGGCAUCAUUCUGAAACAUACAGGCAAAGAUGAAAAUAUCUGACUACAUAAAAAAUUUAAGUUCCAUUAUAUCAAAAGACCAAAGUCACCUAUAAAAAGUAACACACCUACUAAAAUGUUUGGGAAACAAACCAACAGUUGGUAUGCUUAUGAUGCAAAGCACUCCACAAACCAAAGAGAAAAAGAUGAAUCUCCCCUUUGGCAAAGGCAAUUCUACAAAAGAAAACUAAACAUGUAAAAGGUAUUUGACCUCACCAGCAACAGGAGAAAUAUAGGAAGUGAAGCAACAAUAAAAUAUUCUCCUACUCCCUAACCCCAUGACUAACACAGAUGGAAAAAAGCAGUGUAUUAUUUUCCUAUGACUGCUAUAAAAAGUUGUCACAAACUCAGUUAUUCAGUGGACUGAAAUCAAAGUGCUGGCAGGGCCAUACUCACUCUGGAGACUCAAGGGACAAUCCACUCCUUGCCUCUUUGAGCUUCUGAUGGCCAUUGGCAUUCCUGUGGCCACAUGACUCCCAUCUCUGCUCUCUGUCAAAUAUCCCUCUGUUUUUGUCUUAUACAAACACUCAUGGUGCCCACUUGGAUAAUUCAGAAUAAUCUCUCCAUCUGCAAAUCCUUAAGGUAAUCAUAUCUGCACAUACCUUUCUUCUAUAUAAGGUAAAGGCUAAGAUGUUUCAGGGAUUC